CCCCCCAAUUAAUUACAAGUGUACUUGAUUUGUCCUUUGGUCCGUCCUUUCUUUUGGAUGGAUUAGGAAUAUACUAGGGAAUAUUCUUGGACUAACAACAAGCAUACUCUCUUUCUUCCCUUCUUUUGGAUCAAACAAACACUUUGAAUAUUCUUCUUCACUAAGAUAUGAAGAUCAUAGAUGAACAAGAUGAAUAUUCAAGUGUUGACCAAGUUUGACCAACAAGCAAAUGAACUUCAAAUCUGAAUUUUCUUUUAGAUCUAGGUUCCUUAGGCCAAGAAAAACACAACCAACAUAAAAUCAGCCACAAAAUGCCACAAACAAGAUGACUAAAAACAAGAUCCCACCUCAAAAGCUUCAAAUAAAGCACAACAAUGGUGGAUCAAGCUCAAAUUCAACC
rnacentral:lncRNA from 1 species